AUAUUCUUUCUUUUAAGAUGACUGUGAGAGAAUUUUUGGUAGAAAAUUUCAAGCUAAGUUUUUCUAUUCCUGGGGAGGCUUAAGAAAGCUUACAAAAUAUCUAAGAAUCAGCUUUAUUGAUUCCCAUGUAUUUUGAAAAAAAUGUAUACAAUGACUAGGCUAGCAGCACUGAGCGGUGCGUUAGUUUGAUGUCCUCCUGACCGUUUUCAGUCACGUAGGCAAGUCUCAAGAUAGAUUAGAUAUUUGGUGCAGGACAUAUCAUAGUGCAGAAGUAUGUGCGCAAACACAGGUGCAAUCUACUCCCUCACUUUCAUAACCCAAUGGGACGAAAACCCGACACGAACAGAAAGAGGUCAGGCACAGCACCAACGGCUUUACAUGUAUGGUGCGUUAGUAUGAUUAUAGAAGAGGGGGUAAAAAUUUUAGAAAGUAUUGAAAAAUUUGCAAUUCAAAACAUCGACUAACAACGAAAACAAACUCAAUCAAUUUAUGCGUAAGCAAUACGCUAAUAGCGUGCCUUUUACGAGUUAACUCUGUAGAUGAAAUGAUUGUGAUGAUGACACAAUGAUGACUGAACAUGCUCAAAAAAUAGAAACAUUUAUAGUAUCAUAUGUUUGAUGAUAAUGUAAAAAAUAAUAGUAAUGUUACAUUUUUUGGAAUACUAAAAUAUUCAUAAAUUACAUUGAAAUACCAGCAAUAUUAGAACACUUUGGAAGCAAUACAAUGGCGUGUACUGGAGACGAUGUAAAUUUUUUACCAUAUACCAAACAUCAAAGAGAAUCCGCGGCGUGGAAUGCAGUAGUGUGUGGUCUAAUAGGUCGAUCAAGUUUAGUUACGGCAUAGUUUAAACGUACGAAUGGAUGAUUCGAUAAAAUCGUCUAAGCUGAUGGAAAUUUCGACAGCAACGGUGGACAAUGGCUUCAUAUUUUUAACUAAGUUUUGUGAGAUCCAAGAGUAAGGCCACGCACGAAAAAUAGACAACUGGAAUGGAAGGAAUUUAGAAUGAAAUUAUGAAGAAUUUUCUGACGAACAAAAAUUGGACAAUCAGUUAUUUUCCAAUGACAAUGAGCAAAAAUAGACUCUAGUUAAUCUAUUAAAUCAUUCAUUAUAUUCUCUAUCCAAAGGGGGAAAAUAAAAUGUGUUAGUUUUAAGGAAA